UCCAAUUUAAUUAUUUUUUCUUUAGAAGUUAAACAUAGCCCUUUGCAGUCUACCGAAUCUAGGUCAAAUAGAUGGGAUAUUAAUAAUAAUUCAUCCUGUAUGAAAUCUAGGGGUUAUAUUUAACAGUAAAUUCAGAUUCUGGAAUCCUAUGAAGCCUGAGUUUCAUGUAAGUAGCCAUCUCACACAAGACAAAGGCAUAGGCCAGUUUCCCAGGCUUCUGUACAUACUUGAAACUGACCCAGGACUCUUCCUCGGUGGCACGCUUCCCUCCUUUGCACCAAUUCUGGGCAUCAUGGGCACAGAAAGAAGUAGAGUGUUUCUAGAUUGGGAUUCUUAUCCUUUUUUUUAAUCAGUUUUCUUCCUACCCCCAAAGAAAUGAAGUGAGCGAAGCAGGCUCUGCUAUCUGCCUCACAUAAGAGUAACUGCAAAUGAAAACAUUGGGAUGUUUCCCUUGGAUCCUAGAAGGAAGCAGGAUCCUGUGCUGACCCACCCAGAAGCCAGCUGACCUAAAAGGCAUUGGGUAGCAUCCAGACCAGCUAAACCACCUCAAAAGAUGUGUAGUUGGGAGCAUCAAUGACUUGUUGAAAAGCCAGGAAGGCCUGACACAAGGAGAAAGACUUUCUCCAGGUGUGCUGAUGAACACUGUAAAUCCAGGCAGACUUUAGAGUAACUUUUAACGAAACCAAAGAUGGUGAUACAGACCAAGGUGGGGAGGAUGCUGAGGAGGUGGGCUCAUGGAUCGUGGGGACACUGAAGCAAAGGAUGGAAAUUUCAAGAAAGAACCAGCAAGAUCACCUAAAUUUUCUCUCAUUUGGACAAAUGUAAACCUGAUGGCUGUGGCCUGGAGGGAAGAGCUGCCCUCCCUCCCUCCCGCCAGAAGAGGAGGAUGACUCUGUUGGCAUCUGGCAGCGAGGGGAACAAAGGGCUGGCUCUGAACCAGUUUGCUGCCAGUGUUAGAGGU